rnacentral:lncRNA from 1 species
CUAGUGGUUAGAACUGUCCCUAUAAUUUGAUUGUCCCUCAUAUACUAACCGAAAGCAAAAUGCUCUGAUGAGAUGCUUAUAAACUAUGAAUUUUUUAAUUCUUGAAAUUUUUUUCAGUUUUUAUGAUUGUUGAAUAGAUAUGUAUGUUUAGUUCCAUUAUUAUUUCACUGGAAGUUUUAAAUUUUGAGAAGAUGAAGCAGAGAUAGAAAUCCAUUGCAGAUAUAUGUAUAUUUACCCCAUCUUGCAGGUUUCAGUUAGUAAAACACAGAAUGAUAGGUCGGUUUUAAUGUUUUAAAAAAAAACUAAAAAACUAAAGUUAGAGAAACCUUUCUGUUUGAGCUACUGUAUAGAAAAGACAACUUUUAUUGCAUUGCUG